rnacentral:rRNA from 1 species
GGCUAACGCUGGCGGCGUGUCUUAGCCAUGCAAGUCGAGCGGACUUAUGGGGUAACUUAUAAGUCAGCGGCGGACGGCGGAGUAACACGUAGCUAACCUACCCUCUGGACGGGGAUAACCUACCGAAAGGUGGGCUAAUACCCGAUGUAGUCAUCCUGUAUAGGGGUGAUGAAAGGUGGGCUUCUGUUUACAAGCUCAUGCUGGAGGAGGGGGCUGCGGCCUAUCAGGUAGUUGGUAGGGUAAUAGCCUACCAAGCCGAUGACGGGUAGCCGGCCUGAGAGGGUGACCGGCCCGAGGGGCACUGAGAUACGGGUCCCACUCCUACGGGAGGCAGCAGGCUAGAAAUUUGGGCAAUGGGGGAAACCCUGACCCAGUGACGCCGCGUGCAGGAAGGAGCCCUUCGGGGUGUAAACUGCUGUCGUGUAGGGAGAAGGGUACUAAGGUGAACAAUCUUAGUACUUGACGGUACUACAGGAGGAAGCCCAGGCUAACCUCGUGCCAGCAGCCGACGGUAAAUAGCGUACU